UUCAUCAGGGAUCUUCUUAGAUUUGACCAAACAUUAAGACAAACCACACUCUGGUUUGCUACACUUGACAUCAGUCCACUCAGAGGACCCAGGACAACAACCAGAGCUGGUCCAUAGGGCAGCUUCAGAUAUUUCGCUCCACAGCAGUCCUUGCAGCAGUCUACACAGCAGAAGGCACAACUGCCCAUGGUCAACUCACUUAUGAAAAAGUGAAAUCCACGUUGCACAGGAAAAAAUGGAAAGAACAAUACAAAUUUUGGACUAAUCAUAUGGAAUGCUACACCACUGACUUAGGAAUGAAACAGAAGGCUGAACUGAAAGAAAAUCUGCCUUGCAACAAGUUUAUGGAUAGUAUGGAGUUCCCCUGCCGUGAAUAUGUGAACACUCUGUUCUUCCGGAUGGCACUUGGAAUGACGUGGAGGCUUGUUUUGAUCUUAGUGAGUCUUCAGUGAGAACAGUAACAAGCAAGCCUAGCUGAGAACUUGGGCUGUUGUGUGCACAUCAUUCUUGUGCUGCUGCUUCAAUGCUGCUCUUUCUUCUCUGUAUUGAUGACUUAUGGAGACAAAGUGAACCAGUCUGGAAGAUCAUUUAUCCACUUUCCAGAACAUUCCUCAAAAUAAUCAAUAAGGGCUGAUACUUCACACAGAUCUAGUGGGAUGCCUAAACCUGUUAUUUUAGGACAUUCAAGUGUUAAAAGUGUUUUAUGUGCCUAUGGUUGACUGCAAGAACAAACCAGCAAUCCAGAGAGGACCCACAGACCCUCUGAAGGAAGUGGACUGCUCCUGCAGGACCUGGGAGAUCCCUCAAAACUCUGGGAGGCAGGUAGCCUGAGGCAGGUUUUCAAGCCCAUCGGAUGUGAAUGCUCUUCAAUUCUUUUUCCUGUAUAAUUGCUCUGGCCAGGACCUCCAGUACCAUACUGAAUAGAAAUGGGUUCCUUUAAGGAGACAGAAGCAACAAAAGGCUAGAGAAAAGAGAUGAGAUUUCCCGAAUGACCGUUUGCAAGGAAAUAAUAUCUAGACCAACUGAAAGAAAUAAGCAACGAGGAGGCCUGCAGCAGAACCACUGAAAAUCUUGAGCUGGAAAGCAAGUGAGUAAGUGAGGCACAGGUCAGGGUGUGCAAGCUUCCAUGUGAUCUCAUUCAGACAUCCUCAUCAGACACCAGACCACCAGACGGGGAGGGUGCAGAUUGCAUUAGCCUCUCCAUUAUCUCAAUUUCUUUCCCCCAAACACGGCAGCCUGCCUUUUGAAGAGUAUUCUUAUUGUCACAGAGAGCCUCUUGUCUUUUUCUUUUUUUUUUUUUCCCAUAAUGAAUAAACACAGAGGUCCAGGCAGUCAGAGGUGGAAGCCAAACACAAGUGUUUUCAAAAAGAUUUCUGAAAUAAACACUGAAGUGCUGUGUUUCAUAACCCCACACAAAACUGACAGUAGCCAGCUGUUGUCUGAGCUAAACACCAUCCUAAAGAGCCAAGAGCCACGAGGCAAAAAGGGAGAGAGAGAAAAUAACUCCUCUCCUACUGAACCAUAGAUGGCAGAUCAGCCAAAAAGGACCCUAGAGGAAGCAAAAGUCAAUGAGGCGAAAGUCAUUGCAAAUGACCCCUGCCGGCUCCCCUUUACCACUCCAGAAAUAAUCCACCCAAAUGGCCUUUGAUUGGUGAAGCAUCUGAAUGCAGUCUCUUCUUCAUACAAUUCUAUGUACUUCCUCUGAAUCUUGCAAUAAUUAUAUCUCAUAACACCAAGUUUCCCCAAGUUUGGGGCUACUUCUUGUGGCUUUUCUCCUUCCAUAUUUUCUGUAUUUCUCGUUCUUCAUCCCUGUAGUUCCCCUGAAAUAUAGAAAGCAAAAAUAAACUUAAGACCUCUUUUGUCUUCUCUUUUCUGUAUUUUAUGGUCAGAAAAAAAUUCUCAAGCCCCAAGGACUUUCUAGACUAACCCCGUAAAUUGUUCUUCUUGGAGCUGGAAAUAUGCUAUUGUUUAAAAUUUGAGUCCUGAUUGGUGGGAGAGGAAACUCUGGGUAAGAAUUUAAUUUGGCCCAAGGUAAAGAAAAGCUAAUUUUAAGGCUCUGUUUGAUCUCAGUUGUAGUAAGAGUGGAGAUGUGUUGUAGCAGCCAUUUUUUUUUUUAACAAAACGCCAGAAGGCUUAUUUAGCAUGGGGUGUAUGAAAGGUGCUUUUCUGAGAAGGCUAAUACGAAAAAGGUUUGAAACCUGAAUUCUCAUGUAUAAUAAAGUAACCUCAUUUUGAUUAAUUUCUGUGAAGAAGGGACAUGGCUUUUCAAAUGUGAAGAAGGGAUAUGACUUCAGAGAAUAGGUCUAUUCCCUAAUGACUGGAUGUUCAUGAAAAGUAUAACUCUUAAGCCAUAGUUCUAUGGUAGCUCUGGCCAAGGAAUGUUUACAGUGUUAUCUGAUACUUAUUUCAUGUUGUUUUCUAGUCUAUGGUCUGGUCUAUCACUCUGUGAUGUCUUUAAAUUUUGUUUCUUGCUUUUUUUUUUUUUGAGAUGGAGUCUCGCUCUGUCACCCAGGCUAGAGUGCAGUGGGCCAAUCUUGGCUCACUGUGACCUCAGCCUCCCAGGUUUGAGUGAUUUUCUUGCCUCAGCCUCCCGAGUAGCUGGGAUUACAGGUGCCUGGCACCAUGCCUGGCUAAUUUUUGUAUUUUUGGUAUAGACGGGGGUUUGCCAUCUUGGCCAGGCUCAUCUUGAACUACUGACCUUUUGAUCCACCUGCUUCAGCCUCCCAAAGUGCUGAGUUUACAGGUGUGAGCCACGGCACCUGGGCUAAAUUUUCAGUGUAAGUGCAUUAUAUGUACUGGGCUUGUAAGAAAGAAGUAGUGCUUUGGUAGAUAAAGAGGAGAAAUAAUAGCCAAGUUUACGUAGCCGAGGGCCAAAAGGAGGAAAACAAACAUAGGAUCAGGAAUAAAGGGAAUAUACCAAGAAAUCAUUAAGUACAGAAAUUCAUAAAGCAAAAUGAUGGAAACAAUGAGCUCCACCCUCACUUUAAAUCCACACGUUCUCCAAGAGUGUAGACUAUAUCACAGUACACAGAAUGGGAUCAAUCCACUUUAUGUAGUUAUCAAGAGUAAACAGGAUCUCUAAGAGCUGAGGAUGUCUAAUUAUAUUUCCUUUGCCCUUUUAUUUGGAAUUCUAUUAGGUUUCAUAUGGUUAAUUUUUUUUCUUGUUUGUUUUUAGGUUGAGUCACUUAUAGACUGAGUUGUGUCUUUGUUUUGCUGAAGGUUGAUCUAAAUCACCUAAGGUGAAUUUCAGUUUGACCGUAAUUCAAUUUUCAGGCAGAUACCUUAGUCCUCAAUUUGCAUUUUUAAGAAGAAAUACUGAGUACGUUUUUUUGGCGAGAAAUCUGCACUUAAAUUUACUUUUAAAUACUUUCUAAAUAAAAAAGGUAAAUUGUCCAUAAUCACAUAGUGACAUUUUAUAAAAUUCCAUUCUCUCUCACUCUUCUAUUUUCUAGGAUAUGCCCGAUGCUCAUAAUACUGAGUACUAUAUAUGUCCUUAGCUAUUACUGUGAAAGACAACAGAAAUAAAAGCUUGCCAUUUCUCAACACCAGUUAGUGUGAAAACACACACAGUACAAUAUGGAAAAAAUAAACUGAUUUGUUGUCCUCUCCAGGUGCCCUUGCUAUGGUGCAACUUUUUUUUUGGAAAAAACCCGCAAUUUUUAUGUGCUAAUUGUUUGCUUAGUUUGUUGUAUGGGUUUAAACUACAUCCUCCUCUCCACAUCCCAACACGUAUUUCUUUUCCUUUUCCAGUUAUGACCAUAGAGUCUGUCAUGAGAUCUCCUAGGAUUGUUUCCAUCUGAAUAUAGAUAAUAAACUGGCAAAAAAAUGUUCUUUUGAUUUCUUAGUAUUAGUUUUGUAUUGGAAUUUUGUUUAUUCUGUAUUUGAAUUUUUACCUGCUUCAGUUUCAUUUGUUUGAUCUUCUUGAGGGAUUUUCCUUUUGGAUUUGAAUCUACUUGUCUUCUUUCUGCCAUUUGCCUGAUUCUAGCUUUAAAUGUUUCAUUUUACAGUUCUGCUUUGGCAGAGUAAUCAGACGGUGGUGACUGGUGAAUGCUCAUCCCUACUUGGUAUAGCUAUCUGGGUAUCCUGCUCCUGGCAUGUCCACUUCAACAGUUUCAAUCUUUCCUUUCUUGUGCUUUUUUUUUUUUUCAGUGAACAUGCCAGAAUGAAGACUCCUCUUUGGUCGACAGAAUUCUAUCUCUUUGUUUACUGCCCACUGGCAUUUCUCAUGGGUGCAUUGCUCAUCUCACUGGCUGUGGCAGCCCUGACUAUCUGGCACUCAACUGUGUUGUUACUGGGCAAUUCUGACUCCUGCACCUGCCACUGGUCUCUUGUCCAGAACAUUGGGGUUGCCCCUGCAGUCCUGGCAGUGAACUCCCAUCUCAUUGUGGGCAGAGUUGCCUAGCAUAGAAGGGUCAAGUUUGACUUUCAUUUCUCUCUUCACAGUACAUUUUGGUGACUCUUGUUUUGGAGCAAGAUGAGAGGCAGAAUUCCCUUGAAUGAAAUUGCAUAUCUUAUUGCCUUGAGUGACUAUAUAUCUGGUUGGAUAAUGCUAGGGUUUUGUAUUGGCAGCAGGGAUAAAUGAAGCAGGUUCAAAGAUGAAUCUUUUUAAACCUCCACUCUUUGCAGGGCAAGUCUGACUCAUAGGUAGAAUAACUCAUUUGUGAACUAUCCUUACCUUUCAAAUACUUUUAUUUAGAGUAAACAUUGUUAGACAUCACUCUGAUAGUCUGGCACUAUGAGAAUGAUUAUGAUUUGAAUUGUGGAUUCCUACUUAAAAAAACAAUUCUGCCCUUUUCUUGAAUGCAGCCAUGAGACUUCUCAAAUACAGAAAGUGAGCUUUUUACAUUAUCCAAGUUCUCUGGAGGCUGGCAGGGCAGAGCAUGGUUCUAUCCAUUUUACACAGACAAAUGUGGUCCAUUCCAAAAUGUAGAUUUGAUCUCUGGAAGGAAGGACGUUGGUGAUAGGAGUCUUUGUGUUGGCUUGUGGACAGAUGAGAAUAUAAAUGCACUAUUUACAUUUGAAGUCCACGGCUCAUUUAUUGCCCCCACCUCCUUGAGUCCUAAGAAGAUGUCUUGAAAACUGAAUUAUACCCUCUGGCAAGUCUCAGCACAGAGAUGCCAUCACACUCGUAUUCAGGAAUAUUCUUUCUCUAUGAUGGUAUUGGCAAUUAAGGGAAGAAUUUGAUCUUCACAAUGAAAAUUAUGCCCUUUUCUGUAAGAUUGUUCCUCUAAAAAGGGUAAACCAUGUAUGUUACUAUUCAAAACAGUACAUUUCUUAGAGCAAAAAGAAGCUAAAAUACUUGGAUAAUAUAAUUGUUACAAUAUAUAUAUAUUUUUUGAGACAGAGGUUUGCUCUUGUUGCCCAGGCUUCUUGGCUCACAGCAAUCUUUGCCUGCAAGGUUCAAGCGAUUCUCCUGCCUCAGCCUCCUGAGUAGUUGAGAUUACAGACAUGUGCCACCAUGCGCAGCUAAUUUUGUAUUUUUAGUAGAGACAGGGUUUCUUCAUGUUGGUCAGGCUGGUCUCAAACUCCUGACCUCAGGUGAUCUGCCUGCCUCUGCCUCCCAAAGUGCUGGGGUUAUAGGCAUGAGCUGCUGCAUCUGGCAAAAUAUUCUUAUAUAUUCAAUAUGUGAGAAUAUAUAUGCAAUAUUCAAUACCCCAAGAAGGAUCGGGCUUUCUACAUUGGUGGAUUGAUUAUAAAAUAUUUCUAUUUAAAUUUGUUUUCAAAAACAAAAUUCAUUUUAAAAACUAGAAAUAACAUAUAUCCAAAUGACUUGACUUUUCUAGCCAAGGCUUCAUUCUGCAACAAUGUCUUUAAAAAUGUUACUCAUUCUUCCUGGAAUUUUCUCACUAACCCCAUUACCAUGUCCCUCUCUCAUCAAGCUAUCUUAAAUACAAUUUCAAUGGUUGACAAACAAAUUUUAUGCAUUUUAUUACCCCCUGGCAUAACCUGGUGCUUGGAAAAUAAAUCAACACUAAAAUAUACUGAAUAAACAAACCUUACAAGCCACAAAUCAGGUUAAAAUCUUCAGUGUGAUUUUAAAGGAUUUAUACUAUGAUUCCUAGAGCCUCCACUGGUAGGAAUCUUCCAUUUACUCUGUAGUUAGGCUGGUAUUCCAAUCUGCCCAGGCAUUCCCCUCUUACCCUGGUACUUGGGCCAUUUAUAUUAGAUUUUUACCUUCUAAACCAAUUAUUGUUAAUGGCUGUGUUACAAUAAGCUAUGACGGAAUUCAAAAUUGUUACAUAUAUGAAGAACCAGGAAAAUAUGACCACAGCAAAAGGGUUAAGUUAUAGAUUAGCAUCCUUCUCCAGAGGAGAUAGGCCAAGCUGUGCAGCAUACGGAGGUACCAGUAAACAUACUGGUGACUAUAAUGUGAAAUUGAAGAUGAGGUAUCUGAGAAACACUUUGCAAUUUCUUUUUUAAAUGGAAAUAAUACAGUUUCAUAGUUUAGAAAAUCAAACACUUCUACAAGGCACAUUAGGAAAGCUGGUAGUUCUCUGUCUGGGUGUGGUGGUUCACGCCUGUAAUCCCAGCACUUUGGCAGGUAGAAGUGCAGAUUGCUUGAAGUCAGGAGUUUGAGACCAGCCUGGACAACAUGGCAAAACCCUCAUCUCUACUAAAAAUAAAAAAAUUAGCUGGGCGUGCUGGUGUGCACCUGUGGUCUCAGCUGUUUGGAUGGCUGACGUGGGAGGACAGCUUGAGCCCAGGAGUUGGAGGUUACAGUGAGUGGAGAUUGUGCCACUGCACUCCAGCCUGGGUGACAGAGUGAGACUGUCUUUAAAAAAAAAAAAAGAAUUAAGUAAACCUGGUAAUCCCUGACAUUCCCUCUGUAAAUCUAAACCCCUUUCCCAAGAAAUAAUCAAUAUCUUCUUUAUUUAAAAGUUUAAUCUCUUUUGUCUUUCAUUUUUUUCUAUAUUGAUGUUUCUGGAAUUUUAAAGUAUAAGCAUAUCCUUAGCUAAACCAUUUUAUAAGGAAGUUGUUGUAAAACAUAGUGAAUAAUAAUCUUGGCUCUUCAGUUGAUAGUUUUAUAUAUACCUAUUAUUAAUUCUUCAAAAAUUAUGUAAGAAUGUAAAAUUCCAUGAAAUAUGGUCAAAUACUUUAAAUAAUAUAACAGUUCCAUCUGUUUCCCCCUUGGAACUCAGUUAAUUCCUACGAAGGCUUGUGAGUCCCUGUGCCUACUGAAUAAAUACUGCACUGGGGCUUCCCUUUUCCAACAUGAUAGAAAUUUUACUCAUCUCUCUUGAGGUUAUUUCUCUCCCUUCUGAAAGUCCAAGUAUUCUUUCCUGGUUUAUCCUUUCAUUCUUUAGUAAUUUUCUGAGAGAUCAUUUUAAAAACAUAAUUAUCUGAAAGUAUCUUUAGUCAACUCUCAUUUUUGAUUGAUACUUGAUUGGAAAUCUAAUUUAGAUACAAUUUUCUGACCUUUGAAGGCAUUGACUUGUAGCUUCUGUUAUUAGAGUGCUAGACAGUAGACUGUCUACAAGUCUUACAUCACAAUGAUUAUUUAUCUCUUAUGUAUGACUUGCUUCAUAAUUUUAGAAACUUUUUGGAAAAUUAAUUUCCCAAUGUACUGAAAUUUUAGGUGGUGUGCUUUGGUGUGGUUCUCAUGUGCAUUACUUUGGGAAAAUCUUCUUGUAUUUUAUUCCUUGAUAAUUUUUUUACAGUUCUCUCUUUUUGGAAAACUGAAUGUUGAACUUGCUGGGUUGAUUCUUUAAUUUCCUUAACUAUUA